CGGGAGGCAGCAGUGGGGAAUAUUGCACAAUGGGCGCAAGCCUGAUGCAGCCAUGCCGCGUGUAUGAAGAAGGCCUUCGGGUUGUAAAGUACUUUCAGCGGGGAGGAAGGUGUUGUGGUUAAUAACCGCAGCAAUUGACGUUACCCGCAGAAGAAGCACCGGCUAACUCCGUGCCAGCAGCCGCGGUAAUACGGAGGGUGCAAGCGUUAAUCGGAAUUACUGGGCGUAAAGCGCACGCAGGCGGUCUGUCAAGUCGGAUGUGAAAU
rnacentral:rRNA from 1 species